AUUUUUUUACAGAAAAAAAGAAUAAAUGAAGCGACAUUAAAUUGAGUUACCUAUCCAGAUACGACACUGUUGAUUCCCUUAAAAAUUUCAAACAAGGCCUGAUUAUGGGAGCUUUGUAUCUUGUAAAGGUGUAUUAGACGGACCCAAACGUUCUGAUAGCUGAAGCAGACCAGGAUUACUGGAUCGUCGUUUGCCAUUCCCAUAUCUUCAGCAGAGGACAAUUCGUAGCGCAUCUGACUUCUAUCGUUUAUGUUUCUGACAUGACAUGUGAUAUGGAAACAUGUUUUGUUCGUGCCUGUCUUUACAUCUACACGUACUCAUGACUUUACAUGUUCACGUGCUCAUGUUUUUAGUAUGUGUUUAACAAGACAUUUUGUUCAAGAAAAUAGCACGUGUCUUAUUUUACCUGUCUUUAAGAAACCUGUACCUGUCCGCCAUUACCUGUGUCCAAGAAACUUGUUCGUGUCCGCUUUUACAAGUGUUCAAUAAACUUGUACGUGUCCGCCAUUACCUGUGUACAAAAAACUUUUACGUGUGUUCAAUUCCCUGUGUAAAAAACAUUUGUACAUUUGUCCGUCGUAUCCUGUGUACAAUAACAUGUAUGUGUUUGACAAUACCUGUGUACAAUAACAUGUCCGUGUCUGACAAUACCUGUGUACAAAAACAGGUCCGUGUCUGACAAUACAUGUGUACAAUAACAUGUCCGUGUCUGACAAUACCUGUGUACAACAACAUGUCCGUGUCUGACAAUACCUGUGUACAAUAACAUGUCCGUGUCUGACAAUACAUGUGUACAAUAACAUGUCCGUGUCUGACAAUACCUGUGUACAAUAACAUGUCCGUGUCUGACAAUACAUGUGUACAAAAACAUGUCCGUGUCUGACAAUACCUGUGUACAAUAACAUGUCCGUGUCUGACAAUACCUGUGUACAAUAACAUGUCCGUGUCUGACAAUACAUGUGUACAAUAACAUGUCCGUGUCUGACAAUACCUGUGUUUGAGAAACUCAGUCCACCGUUUUAGGAUGCGUCAUUUCUCCAUCUGACAUUUCCUGUAUACAGACAUUUAAUGAAAUAUAAAUGUAGUUCCAUUUAAAAUAAUGGUUUUCUCAGUUUUCUAAUUUUGUUAUAAUUUAAAAUCGUUUAAAUUGUUUGCAUCUUAUAUAAAUUAUAUUUAAGUGUAAACAAGUUUCCA